rnacentral:rRNA from 1 species
GUAGGGAAUAUUGGACAAUGGGGGCAACCCUGAUCCAGCGACGCCGCGUGAGUGACGAAGGCCUUCGGGUCGUAAAGCUCUGUUGCAAGGGAAAAACAAAAUGAUGGUACCUUGCUAGAAAGGAUCGGCUAACUUCGUGCCAGCAGCCGCGGUAAGACGAGGGAUCCUAGCGUUGUUCGGAAUUAUUGGGCGUAAAGCGGGUGUAGGUGGCUUUGUAAGUCAGGUGUGAAAGCCUGGGGCUUAACCCCAGAAGUGCAUUUGAUACUGCGAAGCUUGAGUGCUGGAGAGGCUACUAGAAUUCUUGGUGUAGUGGUGAAAUACGUAGAUAUCAAGAGGAAUACCGGAGGCGAAGGCGGGUAGCUGGCCAGACACUGACACUCAGACCCGAAAGCGUGGGGAUCAAACAGGAUUAGAUACCCGAGUAGUCC